AUUACACAGAUAUGUUCCUAGUAGCACAUACAAGUGUUUUAAAACAAAAAGGUAAUUAGAUAAAACAUUAAAAGGGUAAAAUGAAACAUGUGACAACUCAUUCAAGUAUCAAAAUGACAAUAGUCGUAAACACAUAAAGACAAAACAAAAACAACAAAAGAUGCGCUUUUCCACAAGACGUACAAAAGACACAAAGUAUAAGUAUCUGGUCCAUAUUUUUUAAUUACAAAUUAAGCAGUUACACUUUUAUAUUGCUUCAUAGCGGAAAAAAUAGAAAUACGUUUUAUCAUAUAUUUUACAAGAAAGUCUGAAAGACGG
rnacentral:lncRNA from 1 species